GACAGAGGUGCCAAGCGUUAGGCGGAAUCACUGGGCUUAAAGCGUGUGUAGGCGGAUCGUUAAGUACCUUGUGAAAUCCCACGGCUCAACCGUGGAACUGCUUGGUAUACUGGCGGUCUUGAGCCACUUAGGGGCUACCGGAACAAAUGGUGGAGCGGUGAAAUGCGUAGAUAUCAUUUGGAACGCCAAUGGUGAAAACAGGUAGCUGGGAGUGUGCUGACGCUGAGACACGAAAGCCAGGGGAGCAAACGGG
rnacentral:rRNA from 1 species